GACGGAGGGUGCUAGCGUUGUUCGGAAUUACUGGGCGUAAAGGGCGCGUAGGCGGCUGCUCAAGUCGGGUGUGAAAGCCCGGGGCUCAACCCCGGAACGGCACCCGAGACUGGGCGGCUCGAGACCGGGAGAGGUGGGUGGAAUACCCAGUGUAGAGGUGAAAUUCGUAGAUAUUGGGUGGAACACCGGUGGCGAAAGCGGCUCACUGGCCCGGUUCUGACGCUGAGGUGCGAAAGCGUGGGGAGCAAACAGG
rnacentral:rRNA from 1 species